CUCGUUGUCCCUUUCCUCCGUUGCUUCCCCUUUGGGUCGCAACGGGGACCUCGAAGCAAUCCCCGUGUCCCAUGYAGUCCUCAGCAUUUUGUUGUGGCUGCUGUGGUCCACGAGUGCUUGCUCGUUCUCUCGGAUGCGGAACGCUACGUGAGAGUGGGAGUCCACGACCCCCGAUCGCUCGAAACUGUCCCUUUGACGCGGAAGACGUCCGCAACUGUGCCAACCUUUGCCCCCGGGCUUUUAGGCGUGCGCACAGCUUGCGGUGU
rnacentral:misc_RNA from 1 species